UACGUAGGUGGCGAGCGUUGUCCGGAUUUACUGGGCGUAAAGGGAGCGUAGGCGGACUUUUAAGUGAGAUGUGAAAUACCCGGGCUCAACUUGGGUGCUGCAUUUCAAACUGGAAGUCUAGAGUGCAGGAGAGGAGAAUGGAAUUCCUAGUGUAGCGGUGAAAUGCGUAGAGAUUAGGAAGAACACCAGUGGCGAAGGCGGCUCUCUGGACUGUAACUGACACUGAGGCACGAAAGCGUGGGGAGCAAACAGGAUUAGAUAG
rnacentral:rRNA from 1 species